rnacentral:piRNA from 1 species
UGCUGGUUGAGCUGGGCAGAAACAGUCUCUC